AGAGUUUGAUCCUGGCUCAGGAUGAACGCUGGCGGCGUGCCUAACACAUGCAAGUCGAGCGCGUCUGAUUUGAUGCUUGCAUUAAUGAAAGAUGAGCGGCGGACGGGUGAGUAACGCGUGGGUAACCUGCCCUAUACACAUGGAUAACAUACUGAAAAGUUUACUAAUACAUGAUAAUAUAUAUUUACGGCAUCGUAGAUAUAUCAAAGUGUUAGCGGUAUGGGAUGGACCCGCGUCUGAUUAGCUAGUUGGUGAGAUAACUGCCCACCAAGGCGACGAUCAGUAGCCGACCUGAGAGGGUGAUCGGCCACAUUGGAACUGAGACUCGGUCCAAACUCCUACGGGAGGCAGCAGUGGGGAAUAUUGCACAAUGGGCGCAAGCCUGAUGCAGCAACGCCGCGUGAACGAUGAAGGUCUUCGGAUCGUAAAGUUCUG
rnacentral:rRNA from 2 species